GACGAACGCUGGCGGCGUGCCUAAUACAUGCAAGUCGAACGCAGUGGGGACGGGUGAGUAACACGUGGGUAACCUCCCAUCAGAGGGGAUAACACUUGGAAACAGGUGCUAAACCGAUACUGAUGGAUGGACCCGCUGUGCAUUAGCUAGGUGGUGAGGUAACGGCUCACCAAGGCAACGAGGCAUAGCCGGCCUUAGAGGACGAUCGGCCACACUGGGACUGAGACACGGCCCAGACUCCUACGGGAGGCAGCAGUAGGGAAGCUUCGACAAUGGACGAAAGUCUGACCGAGCAACGCGGCGUGAGUGAAGAAGGUUUUCGGAUCGUAAAACUCUGUGGUUAGAGAAGCGGUAGCUAACGAGAAAGCAACGGCUAACUACGUGCCAGCAGCCGCGGUAAUUC
rnacentral:rRNA from 1 species